rfam:Microgenomates (Amesbacteria) bacterium GW2011_GWC1_47_15 TX86_C0021, whole genome shotgun sequence.
GGGCCAGUCGUCUAAUGAUUAAGACUCUUGGCUGAUCCCCUUGAAAUCCGGGUUUGAUUCCCGGCUGGUCCA